AUUGAACGCUGGCGGCAUGCCUUACACAUGCAAGUCGAACGGCAGCGGGGGAGAAGCUUGCUUUUCCUGCCGGCGAGUGGCGAACGGGUGAGUAAUACAUCGGAACGUGCCCUGUAGUGGGGGAUAACUAGUCGAAAGAUUAGCUAAUACCGCAUACGACCUGAGGGUGAAAGUGGGGGACCGCAAGGCCUCAGGCUAUAGUAUCGGCCGAUGUCUGAUUAGCUAGUUGGUGGGGUAAAGGCCUACCAAGGCGACGAUCAGUAGCUGGUCUGAGAGGACGAUCAGCCACACUGGGACUGAGACACGGCCCAGACUCCUACGGGAGGCGGCAGUGGGGAAUUUUGGACAAUGGGCGAAAGCCUGAUCCAGCAAUGCCGCGUGUGUGAAGAAGGCCUUCGGGUUGUAAAGCACUUUUGUCCGGAAAGAAAUGGCUCUGGUUAAUACCUGGGGUCGAUGACGGUACCGGAAGAAUAAGGACCGGCUAACUACGUGCCAGCCGCCGCCGUAAAAC
rnacentral:rRNA from 1 species